UUGUAUUAUACAGCUUAUCUCAACUGAAGCUUAUUUCUUAUCGUAUUGUGAGAAAUUCAGGUGCAGGAGACUUACGAACGUAGUUUUUGAAAUAUUUAAAUUCGUAACGAUUUUUAGAAAAGUUCUCUAAUUGUAAGGAAAGAAAAAAAUUUUAAGAUGAAGUCCUCCAUAGUUGUUUUCUCCCUGGUACUCUUGUUGAGUUUCUAUUCGACAGAAGCUGGGCUAUGCCAUUGGCUGUGCCGAAAUUAUUGUGUAACACCAGGAGUAUGUCACGUUGUUUGUAGAAUGUUAUGCACUGAUCCAGACGCAGUGAAAACAUACGUACUUCCGGUGCCUAAGACUUCUUUGAAAAAUCUACACAAACAAUGACAACUUGAAAGGAAGAUAGCAUUUUAGCUGGCUUGAAAAAGUGUGAAUAGUUUAAAAAAUUAUAUUAAUAUAUAUCUGUAAUAUAGCCUUAAUAUGAAAUUUUUAAACUGUAUUCCGAGCGCACAAUAAAAGUUUGUAUUAUAAAAUAAAAUGGAGAAAUCUUU